rnacentral:lncRNA from 1 species
AUCAUGUCAUAUUUUUUCAACCUUCUACUUUCUAUUAGACCCUGCAUUGAGAUACAUAUAUGAGCACUCGAACCAGAGUCUAAUAUCUAACUAAAAGUAGAAGAAACCGUAAGGUUAGAUUCAAUUACAAGCAUACCUUUUGACGGUUUAUCACUCUUCUUAGUCUUUAGACUCUCCAGGUAGAGUGGACAGUUCCUUCUCCAGUGGCCUU